AGAAUCAACGCUGGCGGCGUGCCUAACACAUGCAAGUCGCACGAGAAAGGGGAGCAAUCCCUGAGUAAAGUGGCGCACGGGUGAGUAACACGUGACUAACCUACCCUUGAGUGGGGGAUAACCUAGAGAAAUCUGGGCUAAUACCGCAUAAUACCUUCGGGUCAAAGGAGCAAUUCGCUUAAGGAGGGGGUCGCGGCCGAUUAGUUAGUUGGCGGGGUAAUGGCCCACCAAGACUGUGAUCGGUAUCCGGCCUGAGAGGGCGCACGGACACACUGGAACUGAAACACGGUCCAGACUCCUACGGGAGGCAGCAGUGGGGAAUUUGCGCAAUGGGGGAAACCCUGACGCAGCAACGCCGCGUGGAGGAUGAAGCCCCUUGGGGCGUAAACUCCUUUCGAUCGGGAAGAUAAUGACGGUACCGAGAGAAGAAGCCCCGGCUAACUUCGUGCCAGCAGCCGC
rnacentral:rRNA from 1 species